UUCGCAUUAUCCAAAAGCGGAGGAAAAGUAACUAACAAGGAUUCCCCUAGUAACUGCGAGUGAAGCGGGAUGAGCUCAAAUUUAAAAUCUGGCGUCUCUGGCGUCCGAGUUGUAACCUAGAGAAGCGUUUUCAGCCGCCGGCCGUGGACAAGUCCCUUGGAACAGGGCGUCAUAGAGGGUGAGAAUCCCGUCCUUGCCACGACACCGUGUGUCUAUGUGAUACGCUCUCGAAGAGUCGAGUUGUUUGGGAAUGCAGCUCAAAACGGGAGGUAUGUUCCUUCUAAAGCUAAAUAUUGGCGAGAGACCGAUAGCGAACAAGUACCGUGAGGGAAAGAUGAAAAGCACUUUGGAAAGAGAGUUAAACAGUACGUGAAAUUGCUAAAAGGGAAGCGCUUGAAGUCAGUCGCGUCUUUGGGGAUUCAGCCUUGACCGGUGCAUUUCCUCUUCGACGGGCCAACAUCGAUUUCCGCCGCGGGAAAAGGGCGUGAGGAAUGUGGCAGCCUCGGCUGUGUUAUAGCCUUGCGUCGUACGCCGUGGUGGGGAUCGAGGACCGCAGCUUCGGCUUAGGAUGUUGGCGUAAUGGCUUUAAGCGACCCGUCUUGAAAACACGGACCACA
rnacentral:rRNA from 1 species